UGUCCUCUAAAUAAUGACUAGUAUGAACGGCUAAAUGAAUAUUUAACUGUCUCCUUUAACCAAUCAGUGAAACUGAUCUCUCAGUACAAAAGCUGAGAUAUUACUAUAAGACGAGAAGACCCUGUGGAGCUUUAAAUCUUAACCAAAGAGUUUAUACCACUUUACACUAGUGGGGUUGGAUUUUUAGUUGGGGCGACUUCGGAGAAAAACAAAACCCCCGAACAACGGGCUAUGCCCAAAUAAGGCCUACAAGCCAAACCAAAACAGACCCAGUACUACUGAUUAAUGAACCAAGUUACCCCAGGGAUAACAGCGCCAUCUUCUUCAAGAGUCCCUAUCGACAAGAAGGUUUACGACCUCGAUGUUGGAUCAGGACACCCAAAUGGUGUAGCCGCUAUUAAAGGUUCGUUUGUUCAACGAUUAACAGU
rnacentral:rRNA from 1 species